rnacentral:lncRNA from 10 species
ACAUGAUGACCUCCUCUGAUAGCACCAAGUCCCCUAGAGGAAAAUACACAUAGCUCAAACACCUGUGCUGCUCUUAUAACCCUUUCUCUUCUGCAAUUAACAGUGGGCCAGAGAUAAAUAUUGGAGCCUCAGAAAACCCCUUUUAAAGCCACAUCUCUCUCCCGCUUAGCAUUGUGAAUGCUUCCUGAAAGAGUCUAUUCUCUCAG